AUCAUAUGGGCGCUUGCAUUCGUAUGAUCAGUGGCAAACGGGAGAGUAACACAUUGGUAACCUGCCUCGAAGACCGGAAUAACCAACCGAAAGGUUGGCUAAUACCGGAUGUGCUCGUGCGCCGCAUGGCGCGCGCGUAAAGUCGAAAGACGCUUCAAGAGGGGCCUAUGUUCUAUCAGCUUGUUGGCGGGGUAAUGGCCCACCAAGGCUACGACGGAUACCGGGUGUGAGAGCAUGACCCGGCUCAUUGGAACUGAGAUACUGUCCAAACACCUACGGGUGGCUGCAGUCAAGAAUAUUCCACAAUGGGGGAAACCCUGAUGGAGCGGCACCGCGUGCAGGAAGAAGGCCUUCGGGUCGUAAACUGCUUUUAUAUGGGACGAAGCUUCGGCUGACGGUACCAUAUGAAUAAGAGGUUGCUAACUCUGUGCCAGCAGCAGCGGUAAUACAGAGACCUCAAGCGUUAUCCGGAUUUACUGGGCGUAAAGGGUUCGUAGGCGGUUCUCUCAGUCUCACGUUAAAUCUCCGGGCUCAACCCAGAGGCUGCGUGGGAUACUGGAGGACUCGAGAGUGGGAGAGGUAUGCGGAAUUGCCGGUGUAGUAGUAAAAUGCGUUAAUAUCGGCAAGAACACCAAAGGCGAAGGCAGCAUACUGGAACAUUUCUGACGCUGAUGAACGAAAGCAUGGGGAGCGAAGCGGAUUAGGUACCCGCGUAGUCCAUGCCCUAAACGAUGAAUGCUGGAUUUUGGGAGUAUCGACCCUCCCAGAGUCGUCCAAAAAAGCUAACGCGAUAAGCAUUCCGCCUGGGGAGUACGGUCGCAAGACUAAAACUCAAAGGAAUAGACGGGGACCCGCACAAGCGGUGGAACAUGUGGUUUAAUUCGAUGUUAAGCGUGGAACCUCACCAAGGUUUGACAUCCGGCUGCACAUCCUCAGAAACGAGGAUUCCUUCGAGGGUGCCGGACAGGUGCUGC
rnacentral:rRNA from 1 species